CAUGACACUAUAAGGACGGCAGGUCCCGCGAAUUUACUUAUGAAAACACAUUACACUAAAAAGGACGGCAGGUCCCGUGAAUUUACUUAUGAAAACACAUUACACUAAAAGGACGGCAGGUCCCGCGAAUUUACUUAUAAAAACACAUUACAAUAAAUCACUGUGAUUAGUCCCGCACAGGAGGAUGUGCACAAGCAGCUAGUCCGCGGGGUGGCGAAGGCCACGUUAAGCUGGGUACGGACACGGUGGAAUCUGGUAUGAUAUCGCACACGUGGCCGUGGCACGUCCCAGUUGAUGACUCGUCCGAAUGUUUGUGGUCGCGUUUGGCGCCAUGCCGCCCUGCGUGGGCAAAGAACUAUGUCCCGAGGUGGGGCGUUAUAGCGUGAGGCGCAGGUGCCACGAAGGAUCACCUAAAUUAUUACGUAAGAUAUAAAAAUCCCUGGAUGGGAUACACAUUUUAUUAAUAGACCGCGCGAGGCUGCUAACGGCCGAUGUGGGCCGACCGGGGAGCUGAUAUAAAAACGGUUUGGCUAUAAUUACCUAUUGCAGUUACAAGAUGUUGGCGCGAAAGUUGAAGGAUCCCCGUGCGUGGGCUGCCGGCCCGGGCGAGUGCUGGAUGGCGACUGACUAACCUCCCUGACCGCCGGGGCCAGGGAGGGGGGAAAUUCCGCGGGAAAACUGCGGAGCGCGGGAAGAUGACUUCGGCCAGUUUUGUGAAUGAUAACCCUUUAUAAAAUGAUUAUUAAAUUAACAUUGAUUAUUGAUGGUUUUAGAUUUAUGAGUUUCUGUUUAUCUUAUAAAAUGCAUGAAUAAAUAAUACCCUUGCGCAGUGCCACACCCGGCCGGGCGCUUUGCACACGUAGGGGGCCGUGACUGACGUCACGCCGUUCGGGGCACUGCACUAUUUUGCGCGCGCGGGCGAGUUCGAGGCGCGGCACAAAUCAGGUGUUGAGGACACAUAACGGCCUGUGCUCUCAGAGGGAGCACUGACGGCGGCGUCAACUUUUUGCCGCACAGUAAUGCAUCUCUGAAUUGAUAGUUUUAAAGAGAAGGGAACAGCUGAAACUCUUUUUCAUAUCCCCCGGAUUUAGGUGGAAAACUGAAACAGCAGGAGAAGAUACAAAGGAACACCCCUCUGGAUGACUGUAAUCUUUCAUUACAUUCUAAUGAACAGCCAUGCCAAAAACCUAGAAAGCUGAUUCCAAACUGAUUGCGCAGAAAACAAAACAGCAGGAUGUUUGAGACACUGCUUGAGAACUCAGAGGAAAGCCUCUCGUGUUACAUCAAGCAGAACUAGCCUUCUGAAAUUGUUGGUGUGACAAGAAAACAUGAGCUCACUCCCAAAGCACAUUGUUUGGUG